rnacentral:rRNA from 1 species
GAACGCUGGCGGCAGGCUUAACACAUGCAAGUCGAGCGGGCGUAGCAAUACGUCAGCGGCAGACGGGUGAGUAACGCGUGGGAACGUACCUUUUGGUUCGGAACAACCCAGGGAAACUUGGGCUAAUACCGGAUAAGCCCUUACGGGGAAAGAUUUAUCGCCGAAAGAUCGGCCCGCGUCUGAUUAGCUAGUUGGUGAGGUAACGGCUCACCAAGGCGACGAUCAGUAGCUGGUCUGAGAGGAUGAUCAGCCACAUUGGGACUGAGACACGGCCCAAACUCCUACGGGAGGCAGCAGUGGGGAAUAUUGGACAAUGGGCGCAAGCCUGAUCCAGCCAUGCCGCGUGAGUGAUGAAGGCCCUAGGGUUGUAAAGCUCUUUUGUGCGGGAAGAUAAUGACGGUACCGCAAGAAUAAGCCCCGGCUAACUUCGUGCCAGCAGCCGCGGUAAUACGAAGGGGGCUAGCGUUGCUCGGAAUCACUGGGCGUAAAGGGUGCGUAGGCGGGUCUUUAAGUCAGGGGUGAAAUCCUGGAGCUCAACUCCAGAACUGCCUUUGAUACUGAGGAUCUUGAGUUCGGGAGAGGUGAGUGGAACUGCGAGUGUAGAGGUGAAAUUCGUAGAUAUUCGCAAGAACACCAGUGGCGAAGGCGGCUCACUGGCCCGAUACUGACGCUGAGGCACGAAAGCGUGGGGAGCGAAUGGGAUUAGAUACCCCAGUAGUCCACGCCGUAAACGAUGGAUACUAGGGGUUGGGAGUUUCGACCCUCUCAGCCUUGUUCAAGCUAACGCGUUAAGUAUGCCGCCUGGGAAGUACGGCCGCAAGGCUAAAACUCAAAGGAAUUGACGGGAGCCCGCACAAGUGUUGGAGCAUGUGGUUUAAUUCGAUGACAAACGAGAAGCCUUACCAGGUCUAGACAUUUAGCUGCACGCCCUAAGAAACUAGGGAAGCCUUCGAGGGUGCUAAACAGGUGCUGCAUGGCUGUCGUCAGCUCGUGGCGUGAGCUGUUGGGUUAAGUCCUCUAACGAGCGCAACCCCUGUCGAGUGUUAAAAUAUUCACUCGAGACUGCCGGCGAUAAGCCGGAGGAAGGAAGGGAUGACGUCAAGUCAGCAUGGUCCUCUGACGACCUGGGCCACACACGUGCUACAAUGGGGUGUAACAAUGGGUUGCCAAAGCGCGAGCUGGAGCCAAUCCCACCAAACCACCCCUCAGUUCGGAUUGAAGGCUGCAACUCGCCUUCAUGAAGCUGGAAUCACUAGUAACCGCGCAUCAGCUAUGGUGCGGUGAAUACGUUCUCGGGCUUUGUACACACCGCCCGUCAAGCCAAGAGAGUCGGGAAUACCCGAA